GACGAACGCUGGCGGCGUGCCUAACACAUGCAAGUCGAACGGAGAAGUUGAUUUCGGUUGACUUCUUAGUGGCGAACGGGUGAGUAACGCGUGAACAACCUGACCUUAAGAGGGGGAUAACAACGAGAAAUCGUUGCUAAUACCGCAUAAGACCACAACGCCACAUGGCGAAGGGGUCAAAGGAGCAAUCCGCUUAAGGAGGGGUUCGCGUCCCAUUAGGUAGUAGGCGGGGUAAUGGCCCACCUAGCCGACGAUGGGUAGCCGAGCUGAGAGGCUGAACGGCCACACUGGAACUGAGACACGGUCCAGACUCCUACGGGAGGCAGCAGUGGGGAAUAUUGGGCAAUGGGCGCAAGCCUGACCCAGCAACGCCGCGUGAGGGAAGAAGGUUUUCGGAUUGUAAACCUCUGUCGCAGAUGACGAAGGAAGUGACGGUAAUCUGUGAGGAAGCCCCGGCUAACUACGUG
rnacentral:rRNA from 1 species